rnacentral:hammerhead_ribozyme from 1 species
AUCCAGCUGACGAGUCUCAAAUAGGACGAAAUGCGCGUUCUUUAU